UACAGAGGUGGCAAGCGUUGUUCGGAAUUACUGGGCGUAAAGGGCGCGUAGGCGGCCUACUAAGUCAGACGUGAAAUCCCCCGGCUUAAUCUGGGAACUGCGUCUGAUACUGGAUGGCUUGAGUUCGGGAGAGGGAUGCGGAAUUCCAGGUGUAGCGGUGAAAUGCGUAGAUAUCUGGAGGAACACCGGUGGCGAAGGCGGCAUCCUGGACCGAUACUGACGCUGAGGAGCGAAAGCCAGGGGAGCAAACGGG
rnacentral:rRNA from 1 species